ensembl:lncRNA
UGGGAUCUUGUGACAUUACUCACUUUUGUGUGAAUUUAAUUGCAUUGUUAGGGUCCCCCACAGAUGUGAUCUUCUUGUUACUGUGGUUUAAAUUUGGUAUGGCAGAAUAUAAAACUCCCCUAUUCUCCUCUAAGCCGUGUGUAUAGGUCUCUCCCCUUCCUCUUAAAUGUAGCAGAGGCCCCUAAAUGUGCUAUAAAUCACUUCUCAUAUGAUGCUGUUAGUACAUACUCUUCUUCUUACAAAAGACAGCAAGAAACACAGGGAUCCUGUUCAGCAUUUUCGCAUGCGGAAAAAGUGAGGCUGGUGCUUUCACUGAGUCCCUGUGACCAAACAAAGUGUUGACAUGAUCGUUAGAGUUGGUACUGUUGGGCUAGAGAUGUUUUCUCUUCCCAACUUCUGAAUGUAUGAUAGCAACUGCUGACCCUGGCAGAAGGGAAAGGAAAUGACGUAUCUAUACGUCACAUCCGUCAUCAUCGCAGCCAUAAUGGCGGCCUUUUUCUUAAUCGUGGUGCGAAUCAUUGUCCUGUACGAUCUUCCAGUGCUGUCUGCCCCAAACAAAGGCUGUGAAGUUUGUUCUAAUUAUACUGACUUGCUGGUGACAGAAAGAUCCUCUGGGCAUGUCCCCCUCAACAUCUCCAAAGUGUCUUUCAAUGUGGAAAAAUGGAACACGUCCACUUCUCGAUGGGAUGAAGUAAUCAUCUCUGUUACUGGGAAUUCAAAGUCUCUCAACAGCCCCAUCAGAGAGCAGGUCUCUGUGUGUGGGGGAUAUUUCAAUCUGAAAAAUGUGAGCAAAGCAGCUGGGGGAUAUUAUAAGGUGAUACUGGUGCUGUCUGGAAAGUGUGUGGCCUGUAUACAUCUGAGAGUGCUGGGUAAGUUCUGUUUCUGAUGUUCCUGGAGAUGCACUGUCUCUACCCCCAGGAGUCUUGGUGACUCCAAUUUAGGAUCACUCACUGACUCUACUCAUGGGUGUAGAUGCAGAAUAUGCUAUAUAAAUAUGACUUCCUAAUAGAAACACUUCUUAUGGUAGCUGGCAGAUUUUUGUUCUUCUCUUAUCUUUACAUAUAAGUCACAGCCCAUGCCCCAGAGAGCUUACUGGAAGUUCUGAUGGGUCAGUGAGUGAACAAAUUGCCAGUUGCACUCUUGCCUCUGACCCUCCUACUCAUCCCACAAACAUGACAUUUCUGUGCUAUGUACCCACUUUGAACCAAGAAGGAACAAGGCACUGUCCAUCUGGCAUUCCCAGUUGUGUGCAGUGACCAAUAUCUUGCACAGAAGGGAACACAUUUUCAAUGAUGGUGUCAGGAGUGGUUCCCUAGGCCCGAAGCAGAGCCAGACACCACAGAAUUGCAGAGUUGGGAUGGACCUUGUGAUUGCAUGUUGAACCUUCACUAAAUUUCCUUUCCUCAUUCUCUUAUUCCAGAGCCCACCUUAUCCCCACCUCCUAUAGCACAAACCCACAGAGUGAGUGAGGAACCUACCAAUAAGAGUGGAAAGGAGGGUAAGUGAAAAGGAAGACAAUCUUUUCCUAGAAAUGGGCACAAGCACCCAAGGCAACUUCAGGAAUCUCCAUAACUUGUGCUGAGGCCCAAAGUGAAGAAAGCAGGGUUAUGCCUGCCUGUCAGCUCUUUUCUUGUCAAGGGCAGUCAGUUGUUCCUAUGUGCCAAGCUUCAUCUUCUGAAAUCUUUUCACUCCUCUGAUGUCAUCACUUCACUAUAUCUCCUCUCACAAUAGAAUCUUCCUGAAUUUCUAAUGUUAAAAGAACCCCAAGCCAAUCACCUCUUUUUUUUGUUUUGUAUUGUUUUCCUCCCUGUAAAACCAUUUCAUAAAGAUGCAGAAAAGGACACAAGCCCAAUCCCCCAUCCGACUUUUCUAGUGACAUUUAAGUAUGUUGGGAUCCUAUGGGCUUGAAGGUGUUAGAAAAAUGUAAGUUAUUUUUAAUAUACCAGACUCUCUCUUUUUUCUAAUUACAGGAUUGAAGGCUUGGAAAUGGACCAUUCCUGUUGGGCUCUUCGCUAUGGUGCUGAUGAUGUUCUGAUAACAGAGGUUCAUUAUCUUUAGAGCAGGGCAAAAUUAUGGCUACCAAUAAAGAUCUGUGUGUGCCAUGAGCCUGAAGUCUC